GACCUGGUGGCGAAUGGUCCGCGCUUGCAUUCUAUACCACCUUGUAGUCCAAACGUAUAUGCGGGAGUCGCUCGUUCGAAUCGGGCCCAGGUCA